rnacentral:lncRNA from 1 species
AUUUUUCUUCUCCAUCCUGUCUCUCGUGAGUAGCAGGUAUAACUCUGGAAACAUGAAUAUGUUUGAAUGAACGUAUGAGUCAACUGGGCUAACAUCAAAAUUAGAAUGACUCUGGAUCUAAAUAGCCACUUAUGUUAAACAUUAGAUAAUUGCUUCUACAUGGAUGGAAACCAAGAUGAAAUGUGUCAAGAAGGAUUUAUUUCAAAAGAGUGCAUUCUUAAAAGAUUUCAAAGCAUCAGAUAACAAACUGAUGCUUCAGGAGGGAAGGAGCUUUAGUUUCAAGUUCUUUGGGGAGUUGCUCCAAGUAUUAACUGCUGGCCAGGGUGUCAUCACCAAGGAUGUGGCUGCAAGAGGGAAGAGGAGAUGGGGAGAUUCAGCGAGACACACAAGCAGAGGCAGGUCCUGUCUGAAGGAGAGGGACAAACUCAGCUUUCUGAUACAAAUGUGUAGCUAACACCUAUGAAGGAUCAAGGAGGAAUGAGCAAUACCAUGCAGAGUUCAGGAGUCAUCUUGAGGCGGAGGUGAGGAAGCUGCAGUGCAAAGAAAAUAGGACAGCAGGUAUUGUGAUGCUCCAGAAGUAAGGAAAGCAUGAAAUACUAAGGUUUCCCAGCAAUGAAAGCAGAUUCCAACAGCAGCAAUUUUGUGCAGUGAUUCCUGCAGAUCUUCUGAUGAAGACCCUUGGAGUGGUACUUUUGAAAUAUUUGGUCAGUAAAAGAGUUAUGAGCAAUUUGAACUACUAAUAAUUAAAAGUAGCACAGUGAGGUUUGCAUGGAAGACUUCUGUUGUUCCUUCUGGAUGCAAGACUGCAAAAUUGUUUUUUUCUCCAGGUACUCUGAUUCUAGCCAAAUAGAAUUCAUUUGACAUUACUAGAAGAGAGA